UGGGGAAUAUUGGACAAUGGGCGAAAGCCUGAUCCAGCCAUGCCGCGUGUGUGAAGAAGGUCUUCGGAUUGUAAAGCACUUUAAGUUGGGAGGAAGGGCAGUAACCUAAUACGUUGCUGUCUUGACGUUACCGACAGAAUAAGCACCGGCUAACUCUGUGCCAGCAGCCGCGGUAAUACAGAGGGUGCAAGCGUUAAUCGGAAUUACUGGGCGUAAAGCGCGCGUAGGUGGUUUGUUAAGUUGGAUGUGAAAUCCCCGGGCUCAACCUGGGAACUGCAUUCAAAACUGACAAGCUAGAGUAUGGUAGAGGGUGGUGGAAUUUCCUGUGUAGCGGUGAAAUGCGUAGAUAUAGGAAGGAACACCAGUGGCGAAGGCGACCACCUGGACUGAUACUGACACUGAGGUGCGAAAGCGUGGGGAGCAAACAGGAUUAGAUACCCGAGUAGUCCCUGAGCGGGCUGGCAAGGCGCAU
rnacentral:rRNA from 1 species